rnacentral:rRNA from 1 species
GAUGAACGCUGGCGGCGUGCUUAACACAUGCAAGUCGAACGGAAAGACCCCUGCUUGCAGUUUUACUCGAUUGGCGAACGGGUGAGUAACACAUGGGUGAAAUGCCCUGCACUUCGGGAGAAGCCUGGGAAACUUGGGCUAAUACAGCAUAGGACAACAUUUUGCGCGUUACGGUGGGUAGUAUGUCGGUGCGGGAUGAGCUGGCGGCCUAUCAGCUUGUUGGUGGGGUAACGGCGUACCAAGGCGGCGGCGCGAAGCCGCCAUGAGGGGGUGGACGGCCACACGGGGACUGAGACACGGCCAAGACGCCUACGGGAGGCGGCAGUAAGGAAUCUGCGGGAAUGGAGGAAAGUCUGACGGAGCAACGCCGCGUGAGCGAAGAAGGCCUUCGGGUCGUAAAGCUCUGUUGUUAGGGAAGAAAAAGUAACGCAGUAACUGGCGUGACCGUGACGGUACCUAACGAGAAAGCCACGGCUAACUACGUG